GGUUCUAUUAUGUGGCUCAGAUUGAACGCUGGCGGGUCGCUUUACACAUGCAAGUCGAACGGCAGCACGGACUUCGGUCUGGUGGCGAGUGGCGAACGGGUGAGUAAUGUAUCGGAACGUGCCUAGUAGCGGGGGAUAAUUGCUGCGAGUGUAGCUAAUACGCAUACGCCCUUCGGGGGAAAGCGGGGACCUUCGGGCCUCGCACUAUUAGAGCGGCCGAUAUCGGAUUAGCUAGUUGCGGGGUAACGGGGCUCACCAAGGCGACGAUCCGUAGCCGGUUUGAGAGGGACGACCAGCCACACUGGGACUGAGACACGGCCCAGACUCCUACGGGAGGCAGCAGUGGGGAAUUUUGGACAAUGGGGGAAACCCUGAUCCAGCCAUCCUGCGUGCGAUGAAGGCCUUCGGGUUGUAAAAGCACUUUAAUAGAAAGAAACGGUAAUGGAGUAACACUUCGUGCAACUGACGGUGGCCUCGCAGAAUAAGCACCGGCUAACGCUAAACAGCAGCCGCGGUAAUACGUAGGCAGCGUUAAUCGGAAUUACUGGGCGCAGGCGUGCAGGCGGUUCUGGAAAGAAAGAUGUGAAAUCCUAGAGCUUAACUUUGGAACUGUAUUUUUAACUACCAGAGCGAGUGUGUCGGAGGGAGGUGGAAUUCCGCGUGUAGCAGUGAAAUGCAGAUAUGCGGAGGAACACCGAUGGCGAAGGUACUUCCCGGGAUAACACUGACGCUCAUGCACGAAAGCGUGGGGAGCAAACAGGAUUAGAUACUCCCGGUAGUCCACGCCCCUAACGAUGUCAAUCGAAGCUGCGGGGCUUUGGCCUUGGUAGCAGCUAACGCGUGAAGUUGACCGCCUGGGGAGUACGGUCGCAAGAUUAAAACUCAAAGGAAUUGACGGGGACCCGCACAAGCGGUGGAUGAUGUGGAUUAAUUCGAUGCAACGCGAAAAACCUUACCUACCCUUGACAUGUCUGGAAUCCCGAAGAGAUUUGGGAGUGCUCGCAAGAGAACCGGAACACAGGUGCUGCAUGGCUGUCGUCAGCUCGUGUCGUGAGAUGUUGGGUUAAGUCCCGCAACGAGCGCAACCCUUGUCAUUAGUUGCUACGAAAGUGCACCACCCCAUCGAGACUGCCGGUGACAAACCGGAGGGAAGGUGGGGAUGACGUCAAGUCCUCAUGGCCCUUAUGGGUAGGGCUUCACACGUCAUACAAUGGUCGGGACAGAGGGUCGCCAACCCGCGAGGGGGAGCCAAUCCCAGAAACCCGAUCGUAGUCCGAUCGCAGUCUGCAACCCGACUGCGUGAAGUCGGAAUCGCUAGUAAUCGCGGAUCAGUAUGUCGCGGUGAAUACGUUCCCGGGUCUUGUACACACCGCCCGUCACACUAUGGGAGUGGGUUUUACCAGAAGUAGAAGGCCUAACUGUAAGGAGGGCGAUUACCACGGUAGGAGGAGUGAUCGGUGAAGUCGUAACAAGGUAG
rnacentral:rRNA from 1 species